GUAAUAUUUCAUGAUUUCAGAUGGCGUGUCCGCGUGUUGUUUACAAACAGAACAACUGCAUUCAAUAACUUUUUAAAAAGUUACAUCGACCUGUAACAUACUCGCCAAUGUAGUUGUCACACGAUGUGUGGAGAACUUUAUUCUUUAAAUUAGCAAACUCGAGAUGAAUUAGGUAAAGUGUGUAUUUACCUACUUUCACUUUUACUGAUAUCCGCCAUUUAGUUUAACUAACCUUUUGCUCUCGCUUAAAAUUUUAACGAGCCCAAAUACGUUCGAACCCUGCAAUAACACGGUUGCGAACUGUAAAACGGUAAUCAUUCGAGAACAGCAGUUUUACGAUAUUAAUUAUCUUAAAAUUGCUGUAUUCAACCUAUUACCAAUACAAACAGACUAAAUUCCUCGACAUUUUCAUUAAAAAGUUACUUGUACGACAGCGUUAGUUUACAUUUUAUCAAAACUGUCGAUAUAUGUAUUUGACAACAUGCAACCAAAAAUCUUACCAAUGUACUUAAAACUUCAAAAGACGGACCAAAUCAAAUAUAAAUUGUUGAAAGCGUGCAGGAAUACGAGUAUAGUAUUGUAUUACGCGAUUAUAGUGAUUUAUAUUGCAAAAUGUUAUACCAGAGAAUGAUCAAAAAAGCAAAUAAUAAUAAAUAAUGCUUGAAGCUAUAUGGUCAAAGAUACUCAAAAAUGGUGAUAUAUAAAGUGUUGCAAGUAAAAUAAUAGGAUGGAAUAUAACUUGUGUCGUCUGCUUGGAUUUACUUAAAACAGGUGAUCACAACACGAAGAUGAGGAUCGAAGAUGUUGGCCGUAUAAAAAGUAGUUCCCUAGCAAUGCCUGCCAGUACAAGUACAGCAGAGAGAUAAUAAGGCACGUACGAAAUACCAAAGGAAUCUUACACCUGUCAAGAUGAAUAUAUACCGUGAGAGGCCCAACAGUGCCGGAUUUGUAGCUGAUGAUUUGUCGAGGAGGAUGGAAUGGAUAUUAGAAAUAUUCCGUGAGAGGUCCAAUAGUGCCGAGUUUGUAGCUGAUGAAUUGUCGAGGAGGAUGGAAUGGAGAUAAGAAAUCUUUAUAUUUCAAUGAUCAAGGAACAGAGUAACAGACUUGCGAUUUUGCAGAGAAGCGCAGCCUUACAAGACUUAAAGGAAGCCAAAACGUACCAUCAAGCAGAGCUGUCGCAAACGAAACCAGGUCACGUGUUUAACCGAAUGCUGCAGGCGCCCUGUUUUAUAAAAUGUUAAGUGUAAAUUGUUCGUCAGACUGGAACUAUUUGAGAAACUGAAACAUUUCAUUCCAAAUGUGAAUCGGCUGACAUAUAAACCCCUAUGAGCAUGCCCUGCAAAGUUCUCUUCCAUACCAGUUUCCAUAUAAAACAAGCUUCGUCGUUGCCAGCAACACAUGUCGUCGACGUCCAAAACAAAUAAACAUAGAAAGCAAUUAUUACAUAUCUCGUCUCCUUAUUUCCACAAUGCCGUGACUAGCUCUUUGAUAGUUUUUGAAAACGGCGUUUAAAGUUUAAGUGUCAAUGACUUUACACUACCCACAGGCUACAGCCUUGUUGAACUGAAAUUUAACCUGUUUAAUUUCAUUUCUACAAGGCCACAAAUACACCAUCAUACUGAAGUCAUAGAGACAAUGUCAUACCUAUUGCCAUUAAAAUCUCCAUUUUGCCAAACAUGGAUUUACGGCACUCUGAAAUUAAGGCGACGACCUUAUUAUAAAGAGUAACAACUUCUCAGAAUGAUUGGAAACAUCCCCUAAAAUGCUACGUAUAAGAUAAGGGGUCACGUCAGACUACUUUAGUCUGUCUGGGCCUUGCUUUCAUUCUUUUAACCCUUAGCCUGCUGGCGGCAAGUGAUUCUGCCUUUGCGACCAGUGCAGACCAAGAUCAGCCUGCACAUCCGCACUGUUCGCUAUUUAGUCAGUAAAUUUUCAGUGAACACCCCUUCGAAUAAUAAAUGGUAUUGUCCAAAUUGAAUGAUGGACCAUUCCAUUUGAGAAAUUUAGCAGGGUAAGGGUUAAUGAAAGGAGAAGUCUUUAUUUAACCAGUAUUUAGCUCGGACCCCGUGGUAUUUAGGUGACAGCAUUUUAGCUACUUUAUAGACAAGAAGUUAAUGGCACUUGAAACUCGGGUUUCACCCUAAGGUCAAUAAAAAUUUACUAGUGGCAAUAACCUCUUCUUGAACGCCACUGCCGUUUAUUAAUAAUGUAUGAUUGUACAUAGAUUAGCUUAUAGACUAUGCUAUUUUUUAUUCUAAUUUCUUAAAGAUGUGAAUAGAGCCAGUCUAUAUCCUAGGUCAAAUAUCAUUACAAUCAGUUCAUGAAAAAGACUGACAUUUGUCACUACAAAAUAAGCUAAAAGAAAAAUUCAAAAAAUCUAAAGUCUUGUGAUAAAUUCUUUAUUAUCAGUCUAUAUUGUACAGUAGUUUGAAUGUAGCGCAUAAGUUAAGUAUAAACUACUAUUUUUGUCUUACAGAAAAUUUGUCUAGCAUUGGCAGCCAAUUAAAGAAGUACUCACCAAUAAAACGGAUUGAUUCUGGAACCUUCAGUCACGUGGUACUGACACGUAUAAAGCUCAACACGUGUAACAGAAAGGUUGCAAUACAAAUCACACAGGUAGAUUAGGUUCCCUACAAUAAAUUGCUACACGAAAUAGAUAUGAGCCGUGCCAUGAGAAAACCAACAUAGUGGG